rnacentral:rRNA from 1 species
GAGUUUGAUUCUGGCUCAGGACAAACGCUGGCGGCAUGCCUAACACAUGCAAGUCGAACGGACAAGUUAGUAGAAAUUUUUCGGAAUGGAAACUAAUGCGUUAGUGGCGGAUGGGUGAGUAACGCGUGGAUAACCUGCCUCUAAAUGGGGAAUAACUACGAGAAAUCGUAGCUAAUACCGCAUAAUAUCUCUUUAUUGCAUGAUAGAGAGAAGAAAGACGGCCUUAGCGCUGUCGUUUAGAGAUGGAUCCGCGUCUGAUUAGCUAGUUGGUGAGGUAGGGGCUCACCAAGGCGACGAUCAGUAGCCGGCCUGAGAGGGUGAACGGCCACAUUGGGACUGAGACACGGCCCAAACUCCUACGGGAGGCAGCAGUGGGGAAUCUUCCGCAAUGGGCGCAAGCCUGACGGAGCAAUGCCGCGUGAGUGAAGAAGGCCUUCGGGUUGUAAAACUCUGUCCUUAUCGAAGAGAGAGAAGAGUAGUAACUGACUUUUCUAGGACG